rnacentral:rRNA from 1 species
UACGUAGGGGGCCAGCGUUGUCCGGAAUCAUUGGGCGUAAAGCGCGCGUAGGCGGCCAGAUAAGUCCGGUGUGAAAGUCAAAGGCUCAACCUUUGAAUGCCGCUGGAAACUGCCUGGCUUGAGUCCGGAAGGGGCGAGUGGAAUUCCUGGUGUAGCGGUGAAAUGCGCAGAUAUCAGGAGGAACACCAAUGGCGAAGGCAGCUCGCUGGAACGGUACUGACGCUGAGGAGCGAAAGCGUGGGGAGCGAACAGG